ensembl:lncRNA
AUGUCUAGCAUCGUGGUACCUGUCUCGCAUCUUGGUACCUGUCUCACAUCUUGGUACCUGUCUCACAUCUUGGUACCUGUCUCGCAUCUUGGUACAUGUCUAGCAUCUGGUACAUGUCUAGCAUCGUGGUACCUGUCUCACAUCUGGUACCUGUCUAGCAUCUGGGUACCUGUCUCACAUCUGGGUACCUGUCUAGCAUCUUGGUACCUGUCUCACAUCUGGUACCUGUCUAGCAUCUUGGUACCUGUCUCACACCUUGGUACCUGUCUCACAUCUGGUACCUGUCUAGCAUCUUGGUACCUGUCUCACAUCUGGGUACCUGUCUCACAUCUGGGUACCUGUCUAGCAUCUUGGUACCUGUCUCACAUCUGGUACCUGUCUAGCAUCUUGGUACUGGCUCUUUCCAGUUUCUCGAGUAUCUGAGGCAGCUGCGUGUCGUCGUCACAGGCUGAACCCCAACCGAGAACACGGGCCAGAUCAUUCCCAGUCCCCAGAGGAAGAACUCCCAGCUGACACUGGAAACCACAACAGCAAAAGGAUGAACAGCAGGUUGACGUGGAGCUUGUGAGGAAGCGUCAGACCACACCUGUUUGUGCAGCGUGAGAGCGUCGAUCUCAGACAGAACCCAUCCGACGCUGCCGUCUCCUCCACACACCAGAAUCCUGAAGGUGUCAAACUUCUGGAACAAACGCAGACUGACAGAGAGACAAAGUCUUUAGAUGACUCACACAGGGUAACGCACACUCUGUGUCGGUCUCAGUGUCUCACCCCAGGUGAGGCCCCCCGUUCAUCAGGUCAAACACCUGCGCCGGGUUCAGCAGCUGCUUAAAGCGCCUCAGGAAUUUGACCCCCUGGUUGUCUCCGCUCUUAGAGUUGACAAACACCAGCAGAGGACUGGUGCAGGACGGGGGACACGAGGCCUUCCAGAAACCUGAACAUAGACACCAACGGUCAGCGUGAUCAGGUGUAUCACAGGUGAUCAGGUGUAUUGAUCAGGCUCACCGUCAGAGUCGAUGCUGUUGAGUGCGGUCGGGGGGAUGACAGAGACCUUACACUGACCCAGAGGACACUUAGAGGACAGCUGCUCCUUACAGCCUGAGUGCACCUUGAGGACAGAGGGACAAACCUCACUGUUUGUCCUGAGUGUGUCCGUUACAAGGUCUGCAUCCCUGAUCUACACCUGAUCCGUCAUCUUAAUCACACCUGCUGUGGGGGACAGUGGGUGAGUGGAGAGCAUGGCCGUCCUGCAAUCAGAGGACUGGUGGUUUGAUGCAAACCCGCGUGUGGACGUGUCCUCGGGCACGACGCCUAAACCCAACACGCAGCUGUGACAAGUGUGUGAAUGCUCGUUCCUGAUGGUGACAUGUCCGUGCGUGGUAGCUCUUGUCAUCAUACACCUGAACUACAAUCUGAACUACACCCAAACUACGAUCCGUCUCUGGUCUCACCAUGGCUUUACACCAGAGACACCUCCAGUCCUGUAGACGGAGGACACUGCCACAGGUCUUAUCACAGACGUUACAUUUGGCGGAGACCGGCAGGUUCCCCUCCAACCACUGAUGGGGCAUGGACACCUGAGGACAGAGGUCAGGGGUCAGAGUACAGAGGAUUGGGGUCAGCAGGAGAUGAUGUGUUAGUGAGUCUCACCCCGUCCUCGUCCUCGAUGAUGUCCUUUCCAAUAGAGGCCAGAGUUGUCCAUUUACAGUUGUUAGUGGCUCUGACUGCACAGCGCUUAUGAGCCUUGAACUUACACACUGGCACACAGACACUUAAUGUACACACACAUUUAAUGCACGCAUACAAACUGAUGUGUAUAGAGUAAUACUGUGUGUACUAUUUGUAUGUAGUAUUAAUAUGUGUACAAUAUGAAUAAAGUAGUAGUGUGUGUACUGUGUGUAUCUGCUCCACACAUCUGGAAUAAAGUCCCAGAAAGCUGCAGGUCUGCUGAGACUCUCAGACAGAUGGACAGACAGAUGGACAGGUUUGCUGAGACUUUGCUUCCUCUAAUUGAACUGAUUUCAGGACGAAGUAGAAGCUGUUUACUGUUUAAUUCAUUAGAUGCAACUUUUAUUCUUGUUUAAUGGCAAUCAUUUUUAUAUUUCUUUUAAUUUUCCUGAUGUUUUGAAUGGUUUUAUGUGAAGAACUUUGAAUCCCCGUGUAGUUGAAAUGUGCUAUACAAAUACAUGUGCCUUACCAUAUGUGUACUGUGAGCAUUUAGGAGUACCAUGCAUUUAUGCAUGUACUAUGUGUGUACCUUCACAGGACAGCCCGUGGGACGUCACCCCCGACAACGCCUCUCUGCACACGUUGCAGUACGUUGGGCGGGCGUGAGAGCAGGCGUACCAGUUGUGCAUCCCGCUGAAGUGGUCCAUGCUGUACUGGGUGGACUGGGAGAGACACACAGUCAGCUGCUGCUGGACUCACCUACUGGUCAAAGUGGGGACGGAGACACACCUCAAAGUUCUGUCUGCUCUGGACGCUUCGUAGAGCCGCCAUCCACUCCUCCAUCUCCUUCCUGUUGUCUGCACACAGGAUGAGGCGUCUGCAGGGGGUGAUGACCUACACACACACACACACACACACACACUCAGUAUUUCCUGGUUGUGCAGAUGAAAGCAGCAGAAUGUGUCAUUUGCAGAUGUUGACAUCCACUUCCUGUCCAGCUGCUACACAAUAAAGCUGUGUUCCCACACUGACAGAAAUAAACAGAAAGACACACACACACACACACACACACACACA